rnacentral:rRNA from 1 species
UCCGUAGGUGAACCUGCGGAGGGAUCAUUACCGAGUUUACAACUCCCAAACCCCUGUGAACAUACCUAUACGUUGCCUCGGCGGAUCAGCCCGCGCCCCGUAAAAAGGGACGGCCCGCCCGAGGACCCCUAAACUCUGUUUUUAGUGGAACUUUUGAGUAAAACAAACAAAUAAAUCAAAACUUUCAACAACGGAUCUCUUGGUUCUGGCAUCGAUGAAGAACGCAGCAAAAUGCGAUAAGUAAUGUGAAUUGCAGAAUUCAGUGAAUCAUCGAAUCUUUGAACGCACAUUGCGCCCGCCAGUAUUCUGGCGGGCAUGCCUGUUCGAGCGUCAUUUCAACCCUCAAGCUCAGCUUGGUGUUGGGACUCGCGGUAACCCGCGUUCCCCAAAUCGAUUGGCGGUCACGUCGAGCUUCCAUAGCGUAGUAAUCAUACACCUCGUUACUGGUAAUCGUCGCGGCCACGCCGUAAAACCCCAACUUCUGAAUGUUGACCUCGGAUCAGGUAGGAAUACCCGCUGAACUUAAGCAUAUCAAUAAGCGGAGGA